ACAGAGGGGCCUGUCAUGGUGUCUCAGGACACACGGAGACACCUUCUGAUUUCCUCUGAGCCUGUGAAACGGGGCCAGUGUUCUGUUUGCGGGAGUGUGAGCUGCCUGCUGAGCACGGUGGCUGACUCAAGAGACAGCCUAUCAACGCCGGCCAUUCACAGGGACGGUGUACACACAACGAUAAUUCUUUCCAGAAAUACCUGCUGAACGUCCGAGACAGGCGAGGCACAGCGCAGGGUGCUGCCCUUGGAGACCUGAGCCCCGCCUUCCUGGAGGAGGUGUACAAGGGGAGAACAACCCACCGCAAAUUAAAGCUAAUGAAACGAAAAGACAGCCACCGAGGAAUGACGCAAAUGCCACUGAAUGCCGAGAUCCAUGGAGAGAUGAGCCUGCGGCUGAUCAGGGCUCCAGCUGUCUCUGUCAUCUUCAAGAUGCUUCCAGCGCCCCGCCCCUCCCGGCCUGUGGCACCUGUGUGGCUCAGCAGCCCUAUUGUCAUUUCCAGUCACAAUUCAAGUUCCUCGGGUUCAGAAAGCAUGCUGUAACCAGGCACCCCCCGCCCAUUUCCUGCCCCAGCCUCCUCCUGGCCACCUCUGCCUUUUGGUGGGACAAAGUUACGCUGUUAGAAUCCAGGCAGGGUCUCUCUUCCACACUCCUGCUCAACUUCUCCUCUGGACCACUCCCUUCUUACUCAGGAUCUCUCUUCUCCUGUGAUCUUCUCCACUCCACAUUCUGGCCUUAUCCAUAUGACCCAAAUAUUCUGGAAGGGGUUCUGCUUGGGCAUUUAGGCCCUGGGAUGAGACUCCCAUCAUGCUCGGAAGCUUCCAAGCCUUCCAAUUUUGUUUGCUGGUCUUUCUCUUUCUUUCUUUCUUUCUUUCUUUCUUUCUUUCUUUCUUUCUUUCUUUUUCUCUUUCUUUCUUUCUUUCUUUCUUUCCUUCCUUCCUUCCUUCCUUCCUUCCUUCCUUCCUUCCUUCCUUCCUUCCUUCCUUCCUUCCUUUCUUUCUUUCUUUCUUUCUUUCUUUCUUUCUUUCUUAAUGGAAAGUAGAUAGGGAGAGCAGGACAAACCUGCCCUUACAGGCUCUGCUGUCUGUCCUCGGCUCCCCUGCCCUAUCCCAUCUCCAACAAUAUGGUCCUGAUGGAACCAUUAAGGGUCAGGCUUGGAUCCUUGCAAUCCAGCCCACGGAAGUGAACGGUGUGGGUCCCUACCGGUGGGAAGCCCCCCUGCUGAGUGAGGAGAGGUGACUGCCCUUGCUGCAGUCCCAGCUCUGACCUUCAGCUGCCCCUCAGCAGCCUCCCAUCUCCACAUGGCCGGCCCCAGAAGGCAGUGAACUCCCUCAGGGGCUGAGGUAGUCACUGAGCUAUGUUCUGGCUUGCCCUCCCCUUUUGACUGAGGGAGGUACACCAAGAGCUGGCACCCAGCUCCCCAGCUUCCCAAAUGGGCACCAAUAUGGCUCCCCCACUGGCAUUGUACUGUCCUGCUCAGUGUCUUCACAAGGCUCUUGGACUGUUCCCCAGGGACGUGAGGCUGGAAACCCAGUGAGAGACUGAAAGAAACCAGCCACCCCCAGGGCCGGCCAUGCCAACGAGGGCAGACGUCAAGAUGUCUCCAUCAAGGCUCCGGGGACUCUGGUUCCAUAUGUGAUCCACCCACCCAGUGUUUAUAUGACUGCCUCACCCACUAGACUGCCAGUCCUGUGUGGGCAGGCUUGGGUCACUGUUGGGUUCUCUGUACCUACAGUACGUUGUUUCCCCCAAAGAGUGUAUGCUGGACAAAGAAAUAGACGAAUGAGCCAGUCCCCUUUCCCUUUAUUCUUUGACCUGCUUUGUGUCAUCCUUACUCACUCAGGCCCAAGUAGGAAGCUCUCUACUCAGAACCCGAGAUGAGUCUUUUUGUCUUGUUUUGUUUUUGAGUCUUUUUGUUUUGUUUUUGUGGUGCUAGGGGGAUUGAACCUUGGUCCUGGGGCUAUACCUUCCAACACCACAAGGCCCUUUUUGAAAACCACACUGAGUUGCCAUGAUGUCACUGAGCUCUCGCUGCAGCCUGG
ensembl:lncRNA